rnacentral:rRNA from 1 species
AAUAGAUACCCAGGUAGUCCACGCCCUAAACGAUGCGCACUAGAUCGCGGAGGCUCUGACGCCAUCGUGAUCGAAGCAAAAGUGUUAAGUGCGCCGCCUGGGGAGUACGGUUGCAAGACUAAAACUCAAAGAAAUUGACGGGGGCUCACACAAGCGGUGGAGCAUGUGGCUCAAUUCGAAGCAACGCGAAGAACCUUAUCCUGGGCUUGACAUGCACGGAUUAGUUCCGAGAAAUCGGGAUGACGCUCUCUGAGUGGAACGUGCACAGGUGCUGCAUGGCUGUCGUCAGCUCGUGCUGUGAAGUGUCGGGUUAAGUCCCUCAACGAGCGAAACCCCUGUCGUUAGUUGCCAGCGCGUCAUGGCGGGGACUCUAACGAGACUGCCGGUGUUAAACCGGAGGAAGGUGGGGAUGACGUCAAGUCCUCAUGGCCUUUAUGCCCAGGGCUGCACACGUGCUACAAUGGCGCGCACAGAGCGAAGCGAGACCGCAAGGUGGAGC